UAUGAAGAACGCAGCGAAAUGCGAUAAGUAGUGUGAAUUGCAGAAUUCAGUGAAUCAUCGAAUCUUUGAACGCACAUUGCGCCUUCUAGUAUUCUGGGAGGCAUGCCUGUUUGAGCGUCAUUAAACCUCUCUCAAGUAUGAUUACUUGGAUGUGAAGGAAGAGUACCUUAAACUUAAGGAGUGUUCUCCUUUGAAAUUGAUUAGCAGAUGGUAAUGUUAUUAAAUCCCUGAUGUUGUAAGAAAUAACAGUGGUUUUGUAGACUAUUAUCUAGCUUUAAAUUAUAAUUUUUAUUAUGGUUGACCUCAAAUCAGGUAAGGAUACCCGCUGAACUUAAGCAUAUCAAUAAGCGGAGGA
rnacentral:misc_RNA from 1 species